UACGAAGGGGGCUAGCGUUGCUCGGAAUCACUGGGCGUAAAGCGCACGUAGGCGGAUUGUUAAGUCAGGGGUGAAAUCCUGGAGCUCAACUCCAGAACUGCCUUUGAUACUGGCGAUCUCGAGUCCGGGAGAGGUGAGUGGAACUGCGAGUGUAGAGGUGAAAUUCGUAGAUAUUCGCAAGAACACCAGUGGCGAAAGGCGGCUCACUGGCCCGGUACUGACGCUGAGGUGCGAAAGCGUGGGGGAGCAAACAGGGAUUAAGAA
rnacentral:rRNA from 1 species